rnacentral:rRNA from 1 species
CCAAUAGCGUAUAUUAAAGUUGUUGCAGUUAAAAAGCUCGUAGUUGAACUUCGGGAUCAAUGAGUUGGUCGUGCCAUUGGUAUGAACUGGCUUUAUUGGUUCUCACCUUCUAAUGAACCAUAAUGUCAUUCAUUUGAUGUUUUGGGGAAUUAGGACUGUUACCUUGAAAAAAUUAGAGUGUUUAAAGCAGGCUCACGCUUGAAUACAUUAGCAUGGAAUA